rnacentral:rRNA from 1 species
UGGGGAAUCUUGCGCAAUGGGCGAAAGCCUGACGCAGCGACGCCGUGUGUGCGAUGAAGGUCUUCGGAUCGUAAAGCACUGUCGCGAGGGAAAAAGAAAGUGAUGGUACCUCGAGAGGAAGCACCGGCUAACUCUGUGCCAGCAGCCGCGGUAAUACAGAGGGUGCGAGCGUUGUUCGGAAUUAUUGGGCGUAAAGCGCUGGUAGGUGGCUUGUUAAGUCGCGUGUGAAAGCUCCAGGCUCAACCUGGAAAGUGCGCGCGAAACUGGCGAGCUUGAGUGCCGGAGAGGGUCGCGGAAUUCCCAGUGUAGAGGUGAAAUUCGUAGAUAUCGGGAGGAACACCAGAGGCGAAGGCGGCGACCUGGAAGGUAACUGACACUGAGCAGCGAAAGCGUGGGGAGCAAACAGGAUUAGAUACCCCCGUAGUCC